UUAGGCUAUUGAUCUAAUACCUAAACACUGCCUUUUGUGGUAUUAAUAUUUCUUGCUACCUCUGGGAUAUAUAAGUAGGGAUGCAAGUUGUUGAUAUUACAAUCAAAAUUUGCAAUUAGCAAUAACAGAAUUGAGAAACAGUUGCCCCACACAAGAAACAUAGCAGUCAUGGGAGAAGAAAUGAAGAACACAAACAAUUCAGAAUGCCCGAGUGAUCUUUACGACAAGUUCUGUGCGUCAAACUCUUGCACAGAAAUUCUUGAGUUGUUUGACAGAAUGUGUGAGUCACUUAGUAUCGCACCUCCAAGAAUAGGUGGCGCUGAUCAUCAUGGGUUUUAUCACCGAUUUAAAUCGCUUCUUAGGACAACUAAAUCGAUGUCUUUAUGGACAAAGUUGGAUAAACGUGCGAGUGAGUCUGUGUAUGCUGACGGAAAUGCUUGUUCAAAGAACAAGGUAUUGAUAAUAGGUGCAGGACCAUGUGGUUUGCGUAUGGCGAUAGAAUGUGCCUUUCUUGGUGCCAAGGUAGUGCUAGUGGAGAAGCGACCACAAGCUACGCGUAACAAUGUACUCCAUCUCUGGACGUAUGUACCAUAUGACCUGAAAGCUUUAGGUGCAAAGGAAUUCUAUCCACGAUUUUGCACAGGGGGCAUCGAUCAUAUUAGCAUCAGGCAGCUACAAAGCAUAUUACUGAAGACAGCUCUUCUUCUUGGAGUAGAGGUUCAUAUUAAUACCACCUUUAAUGAUAUCAUAGAACCCACGGAUGAUGCACAUCAUGGGUUUAGAGCUGAUAUCUCUCCAGUAGAUAGCCCUGUGUCUCAGUUUGACUUUGAUGUUCUCAUUGGAGCAGAUGGCAAAAGAAAUACACUUAAAGGAUUCAAGAGAAAGGGAGCAAGGGGUAAACUUGCUAUAGCCAUCACCUGUAACUUUCUCAACAAGAGAACCACUCGGGAGAGCCUGGUACAAGAAAAGGGAGGCUUUAACUAUCUAUACAGUCUACAAAUGUUCAAAGACUUAAACGAUAAGACAGGAAUAUACCUAGAGAAUUUUGUGUACUACAAAGCAGACACACACUACUUUGUGAUGACUGCCCACAAGAAAAGUUUAUUAAAGAAAGGUGUUUUGAAAGAGGAACAUGCAGACACAUCCAAGCUCCUUGGCAGGGAUAAUGUUGUGUAUGAAUACCUAGUCUCUUAUGCAAAAGAAGCUGCAAAUGAGAUGACAGAAUAUAAAAUUCCCGAUUUGGAAUUUGCCUUGAAUCAUUAUGGUAGAGAGGAUGUGGCCAUGUUUGAUUUCACAUCAUUCUUCACUGCUGAACAUUCUUCACGCGUGAUUGAGCGACAUGGUCAUAAACUCUUGGUUGGCAUUGUGGGAGAUAGUCUACAGGAGCCAUUUUGGCCUUCAGGGUCCGGGUGUGCUAAGGGUAUCCUUGGGGUACUAGAUGCAGCAUACAUGGUUAAACAAUGGGGAGAUGGGGUAGAUCCCCUUCAGAUCUUAGCCACAAAGGAGAGUGUUUUUAGGAUGUUCUUGAGUGCAUGGACCAGCCAUUCCCUCUUCAGCAAACCCCAGGAAUUUACCAUUGACCCAAAAACUAGGUACAAGAAUUGUGAAACAGAUUUUCUGAAACCAAAAGAUGUUAAGUAUCUGUAUGAUGAUGGAACUGGAGUUAAAUACACUGAUGUGGACACGAGAAAUACAGUGAAGAAAAACACUGCUUAUAAACCAGAAGAUGAUGAGACUGAUAACGAAAAGGAUGAUGCGCCUGUGGAUACUCAAAAACAUAGUCAUAAUAUUAAAUCUAACAAUGGAUUUGCAAGUGAGGCAGGUUCACUGGGAACAUCAGUGGCAGACAAUAGUAACCUAGGGAAUACAGGGGAUAGGAGAAUAAUGGAAAAACACGCAAAUUGUAUCGCUUCUGAAGAAUGCAUAGGAAAUAUGACUAAUGAAAAUAUUGAUAAAGACUUGUCUAUUGGAGAUGAUGAUCUGUUUGCCAAAAAUAGUGUUGGAAGUGAAAAUGAGUCCAUUGAUGAGGUUAAGAAAUCCGCAUCUCUCGAAAGAUCUACUUUUAUUGUGGAUAAAACUGUAUCCUUGGAUAAGACAACACCCAUAGAUAGUAAUAAACCUAGUGAAAUGAAAGAGGAAUGCAACGAGUUGGUGCUUUGCAGACGACCAUCAGUCAAGAAACUCACUGAAAAUUGGGUCAGUUUGAUGGAAGAAAAUGCACAUCCUCAAGACUCAAAGACAGUGGCCCCAAUACCUACUAAAACUACAAUAGCAGAGAAAGCUCAACACA
rnacentral:misc_RNA from 1 species